UUUUAGCAGAAGCAUUACUUUGUUGACCAUUCUGCCCACGCUUCUUGAGUCUUGUCGCACAACAUUCGGGGCAAUUUGGUAAAUGCAAUAGAGUUUGAUAUUCCCUUGUUGCAGGAAGUGGUCCCACGUGGAUAGAGUAAUAAGAAAGCAGACGAACCCAACUUCUACAACAUCCUGACCGUCAAAAUUCACAUCAUCGGCACCAUUAAAAACUCGUGUGGGUAAGCGACAACUACACGUUUUACAAGACCAACACCAACAAACAAUAUCAGAAUCAGAAGAAGAAACCAAAGCAAAGCAAAGCAAAACUCUCUAUCUCUUGAAAACAUUCUUGUAAUAACAAAAGGGAUUAAAGUUGAUUGGUGAAGUUGUUGUUGUUCAGUGGAGAAAUGGAAGAAGAUAAUAAGGUGGUUGUUAAUGGCUUCUCUCCGGUAACUUCCACUCCGGUAUUCUGGAAAUCUCGUAAGAGAUCAGGUAACUUAUUAUUAUUAUUGACCCUUUCAUUUCAUUGUGUGUUUCAAUGAUUUUUAUAUUAGUGUGCAAAGAUACGGGUUUAAUUGUGAGUAAUAAUAUUAGAUCUAUGCCCCUGUUGUCGAAAAUUAUUUAUAAACUAGUUUUUGCCCCGUCCGCGUUGCGGGGCAAUUUUGAGUUAGAGGCGAAAUCAUAAUUUUAAAUUGAGAGCAAAAUCAUAAUUUUAUUUUGAACUGUGGGCAAAAACGUAAUUUUGAGCUGAGGGCAGAAUCAUAAUUUUAAGGUAGAGGGAAAACAAAAAUUUUAUUUUGAACUGGGGGCAAAACCGUAAUUUUAAACGAAGGGCAAAGCCGUAAAUUUAAACUGAGAACAAAAUUAAAAAUGAGUUUUUGAACCGAGGGUAAAAGCGUAAUUUUGAGCUAGGGGCGAAAUUAUAAUUUUAUUUUGAACUGGGGCAAGAACGUAUUUUUAAAUGAAGGACGAAAGCGUAAUUUUAAACUGAAAAUAAAAUAAAAUUUAAAAAAGGUUGGUCGAAUGGGGGAGUGCUAGGCAGCUGCCUGACACUAUUCCCCUAUCUUGUAAUUGUAUAUGUAAAUAAUAAUUCUAGAGUUCCAUACAAACACAAGUCAUGUAAUUGGGUUUUUUUUUUAGUGAUAAUAAAAACAACAAUAACAUAAUUCUAUUAAUUGGUAACAAGCGUGAUAUAUUGAUGAGAGUGCAUUUUAGAACCAAUCUUAUGUUUAAGAACUCAUGUUUUAUCAUAAGUGUAGCGCAUAAGACGGUUACAUAUCAACAUACCUCAUUAUUAUUUCAUUUAAUGCACUACAUACAAUACAAAUGUUUUAUGGUCAAUUACAAUUUUCAACAAACUAUUUAAAAAGAAGUAAAAUUAGAUUAAAGAAUAAGAUAGUAUUUUAAAAAGAGUUCAACGGUUCUUUUAAAAGACCGGGUGUACAUUUUGAUACUUCAAAGACUUUUCCUUAUUUUGAACAGACCACGAGCCACGGUGACUGCAAAUAAUAAUAAUAAAACUACCCUCGUGUGUGCUCUUUGUUUUUCAAAAUAAAAGGGCCUUACUUUUCUCAGUAACCUUUAAACAAAGUUACAACUACGACUUUUUCCCCAACUAAUCAAUUGAAAUUAAUAACGUUAUAGUAAAAGUUUGAUUAUAAUUUAUAAUUCUAUAAACUACUAAUUUAUUCAAUAAACUACUUGUAAUUAAAUAUUAUAAUAUUUUUUUUGUGCCACUUGAAUCUAAUAAAGUUGGUAAGUUGUUGAAGUUUUAUUAUCUUCCCUACCCAACUAACCACUUAGGAAUUAAUAAAGGUUUUUUUUUUUUUUUUUUUUUUUUUUUUUUUUUUUUUUUUUGAAAGACCAACAAAAAUUUAGAAAUUAAUAAAGUUAGUAAGUUUGAUAAUGAUCUUAUAGCAUUAUCAUAAUUGUAGGUAUUUCAUGGGUACACGAAAUCAAUAAUCAGAUAACACAAAGUGUACUUUAAAGAACGAUAUAUUCUUCUAUGUAUUUUAAAGAACGAUAUACUCUUCUAUGUAUUUUAAAGAAGAUGUAUUCUUCUAUGCUUAAUUUAUGGUGGAGCCAUUACAAUGGUUGGGGUGAAACGUCGCCUCUCUUUGUGUAAGAGUGCAACUGAAGUCAGUCAUAACCAGUGGCUGAUCUUGCCCGUUGAACGUGCCAGGGCCGAAAGACAAGGGCACUAAAAAAAGCCCGGGCAAGCCCGGGCAAGCCCGGGCCAAACAUAGUAUAUAUAAAAAGUUUCAUUCGAAAUGCGAAAAAUUAGCACUACGGCCGAAAAACUUGCCCGGGCCGUGGCCCUGCCAGUGACCUUCUAAGAACCGCCCCUGGUCAUAACUAUUGGCAGUUAGUGGUUAUAUCAAUGUGAGCCAUCAGUUGCCUCGAGCGUGUACUCCACACCUAAAUAAGAAUUGAACCGAAAGGAUAGAGAGAUCGACGGCCUAAACGAGCAAUUGGAAGAGGACUCGCGCGUCCUGGAACAUCUUCAAUUGCAGCUGCUGGACGAAAGAAGUAAACGUGCGGAUGUGGAACGACAAAAUGCUUUGUUGCAGAACCAGGUUGAUAUGUUGAUGAACAUGCUUCAGGAGCCUCCUGAGAACAUAGAAGAGGAUGAACUUCCACAAGUUUACAUCUGUUAUUUAUUUGUUUGUUUGUUUGGCAUAUGGAGAGCUACCAAAAUAUUUAUAGAUAUAGCACCAAAUGUAUCAAAUUACAUGUAUAAUUUGUUUUUUUAUAUAUGUAUAAAAAGUACUGCAAGUAUUAAUAUUUGUUAACUAAA